rnacentral:lncRNA from 1 species
UAUGCUUCAAAGUUUGGAGUUGAUGAAGGCAAGAUGAUGGAAAGGCUGUGGGGUGAAAACUUCUUUGAUCCAGCCACAAAGAAAUGGACCAGCAAGAACACUGGAUCUGCUACCUGCAAGCGUGGGUUUGUUCAGUUCUGCUAUGAGCCCAUCAAACAGAUCAUUAACACUUGCAUGAAUGACCAGAAGGAUAAGCUGUGGCCUAUGCUGCAAAAACUUGGUGUCACCAUGAAAUCUGAGGAGAAGGACCUCAUGGGUAAAGCAUUGAUGAAGCGGGUGAUGCAAACCUGGCUUCCAGCAAGUACUGCCCUAUUGGAAAUGAUGAUCUUUCAUCUUCCCUCUCCAUCAACUGCCCAGAAGUACCGUGUGGAAAAUUUGUACGAGGGUCCUCUUGAUGAUCAAUAUGCUGCAGCUAUCAGAGCCUGUGACCCUGAUGGUCCUCUGAUGCUUUAUGUGUCAAAGAUGAUUCCAGCAUCUGACAAGGGUAGAUUCUUUGCUUUUGGACGUGUGUUCUCUGGCAGGGUUUCCACUGGUUUGAAGGUGCGGAUCAUGGGACCAAAUUAUGUUCCUGGAGAGAAAAAGGAUUUGUAUGUCAAGAGUGUUCAACGUACUGUCAUUUGGAUGGGUAAGAGACAGGAAACUGUUGAGGAUGUGCCAUGUGGUAACACAGUUGCUAUGGUGGGUUUGGACCAAUUUAUCACUAAGAAUGCUACAUUGACGAAUGAGAAGGAAGUUGAUGCUCACCCUAUUAGGGCCAUGAAGUUUUCUGUCUCCCCAGUUGUGCGUGUUGCUGUUCAGUGCAAGGUUGCCUCAGAUCUUCCCAAACUUGUUGAAGGUCUAAAGCGAUUGGCCAAAUCAGAUCCUAUGGUUGUUUGUACAAUUGAGGAGUCUGGUGAGCACAUUGUUGCUGGUGCCGGGGAACUUCAUCUUGAGAUCUGUUUGAAGGACUUGCAGGAUGAUUUUAUGGGUGGAGCUGAGAUCAUUAAAUCUGACCCUGUUGUGUCAUUCAGGGAGACUGUCCUGGAGAGGUCAUGCCGCACAGUAAUGAGCAAGUCACCUAACAAGCACAACCGUCUGUACAUGGAAGCAAGGCCAAUGGAGGAUGGUCUGGCUGAAGCCAUUGAUGAUGGCAAGAUUGGACCAAGGGAUGACCCAAAGGUUCGCUCUAAGAUCUUGUCUGAAGAGUUUGGUUGGGACAAGGAUCUUGCUAAGAAGAUUUGGUGUUUUGGCCCAGAGACCACUGGACCCAACAUGGUGGUUGAUAUGUGUAAGGGAGUGCAAUAUCUGAAUGAAAUCAAGGAUUCUGUGGUUGCUGGGUUCCAGUGGGCAUCAAAGGAAGGUGCAUUGGCGGAGGAGAACAUGAGGGCUAUCUGCUUUGAAGUAUGUGAUGUGGUCCUUCACGCUGAUGCUAUCCACAGAGGUGGUGGUCAGAUCAUUCCAACUGCGAGGAGAGUGUUCUAUGCUUCACAGCUAACUGCUAAACCAAGGCUUCUUGAGCCUGUCUACCUGGUUGAAAUCCAGGCUCCUGAGCAAGCUCUUGGUGGUAUCUACAGUGUUCUCAAUCAGAAACGUGGACACGUGUUUGAGGAAAUGCAGAGGCCAGGUACCCCACUCUACAACAUCAAGGCAUAUCUCCCUGUCAUAGAGUCUUUUGGUUUCUCAAGCACGUUGAGGGCUGCAACAUCAGGCCAAGCUUUCCCACAGUGUGUCUUUGAUCAUUGGGACAUGAUGUCCUCUGACCCAUUGGAGGCUGGAUCGCAAGCUGCACAACUUGUGGCGGAUAUUCGUAAGAGGAAGGGCUUGAAGGAACAGAUGACUCCUCUCUCUGAGUAUGAAGACAAGCUUUAAAAUGUUUUAUUUUAGAAGUAUUUAUUUUUCAACUUAUUAGCUGAAUUUAUCUUUCGAAACCUUAGUUUUAAAAUUUUGUCGAGUUUUGUUUGUGGUUUUGUCAGUGACUUGUUGUACUUUUUAUUUGUGCUUGCGUCGAUGUAUUUUUGUUGCUCCAUAGGAUUUUGCAUCGAUGUUGGUUCGAACUAUUUGUGCGAAUUUUGCUUGAAAGAUACUAUUUCAAUAUUUUUGUGGUGCAAAAUAAUCAAAUUAUAAAUUGAGUGCGAUAGGGGA